CCCUCCGCCGCUCUCUCACGGACUCCCCUAUCGCGGUGUCGGAAGAGGAGGGGUCUGGGAGAGAAGGGCGGGGG
rnacentral:misc_RNA from 1 species